GAUGAACGCUGGCGGCGUGCCUAAUACAUGCAAGUCGAGCGAACAGACGAGGAGCUUUCUCCUCUGACGUUAGCGGCGGACGGGGGAGUAACAAGUGGAUAACCUACCUAUAAGACUGGGAUAACUUCGGGAAACCGGAGCUAAUACCGGAUAAUAUAUUGAACCGCAUGGUUCAAUAAUGAAAGACGGGUUUUCUGUCACUUAUAAAUGGAUCCCGGCCGCAUUAGCUAGUUGGUAAGGUAACGGCUUACCAAGGCAACGAUGCGUAGCCGACCUGAGAGGGUGAUCGACCACACUGGAACUGAGACACGGUCCAGACUCCUACGGGAGGCAGCAGUAGGGAAUCUUCCGCAAUGGGCGAAAGCCUGACGGAGCAACGCCGCGUGAGUGAUGAAGGUCUUCGGAUCGUAAAACUCUGUUAUUAGGGAAGAACAAAUGUGUAAGUAACUAUGCACGUCUUGACGGUACCUAAUCAGAAAGCCACGGCUAACUACGUG
rnacentral:rRNA from 1 species